UUCAAACUUAUCAAUUGGUGCGUCGUGACUGUGAUCGAAGCAAUCGCAGAAGAUUGAAGAUGGUGGUGGCGAUCGGAUCGAUUAUCACCGGUUCGGGAAUUAUCGGAGGCGGAGCAACAAGAAGCUUCAUUAGCAGACGUAUACGAUCAACUUAGUGAGUUGCGAAACUCCGAAACUAAGAUGGAUUCAAGAAUUCAAUCGUUGGGUUCCCAGAUGAGUUCAAAGAUUGAGGAUUUGGGCAUCGACUUGAAGGAAAUCAAGUUCAACCAAGUCUAUUGCGGAGGUGCAUGGAGCAGUUCUUGGUUUGGUAGCUUCAGUUUUGUCUGUUCCUUAUGACAUGCCCAGGUAACAUCUCUAUGUCAGAAGUGUGUGGCGCAGAGCUUAAGCUUGAACUUGAACUUGAACGUCUUUAACUAAUCUUAAGCUUUUGUAAAUGUUUGAUGCUGGUUGCCGGAUCAUGUGACAUUUACUGGCUCGUUUCGCGGGUGAACCUACACCUAUAAAAUCGACUGUGACAAAAGCAGUGGCUGAGUUCCGACGAACACAUGCGGACACAUGGAACAUCCAGAAAGACUCUUUCACCGAAGAUCAGCUUGAGAUAUUGGCCGAUACAUCUUCCUCUUCUUCGUACUUUGCUUGAUUUGUGUCGGGGAAUAGAGUGAGUUUCGUCACAAAGACAGUAAUACUACUCUUGUUUAAGGAA